rnacentral:rRNA from 1 species
UACGUAGGGGGCAAGCGUUGUCCGGAAUCAUUGGGCGUAAAGAGCGUGUAGGCGGCCCGAUAAGUCCGCCGUGAAAGCCCAGGGCUCAACCCUGGGAUGCCGGUGGAUACUGUCGGGCUAGAGUUCGGAAGAGGCAAGUAGAAUUCCUGGUGUAGCGGUGAAAUGCGCAGAUAUCAGGAGGAACACCUAUGGCGAAGGCAGCUUGCUGGGACGACACUGACGCUGAGACGCGAAAGCGUGGGGAGCAAACAGG